rnacentral:lncRNA from 1 species
AAUUUAAAAAAAUGAAAAACCUCAGAAAAAGCCCUUAACUGUGAUGUAUUCGUACUCUGAUUAGAGCUCAAAUAUCAGAGCUCAAUGAAAUUUUUAAUGUAUUCGUACUUUGAUCAAAGCUCAAAUAUCAAAGCUCAAAGAUCAGAAAGACCUCAUAAAAAGCUCAGAAAAAGCCCUAAACUUCUUCUUUUACCAAUUUUCGCUCAAAAAAAGCUCAAAUA